UAGGGAAUAUUGGUCAAUGGAGGCAACUCUGAACCAGCCAUGCCGCGUGCAGGACUAAGGCCCUAUGGGUCGUAAACUGCUUUUGAAUGGGAAGAAAUGUAUCUACGUGUAGAUAUUUGACGGUACCAUUAGAAUAAGGAUCGGCUAACUUCGUGCCAGCAGCCGCGGUAAUACGAAGGAUCCAAGCGUUGUCCGGAUUUACUGGGUUUAAAGGGUGCGUAGGCGGACUCAUAAGUCAGUGGUGAAAGCCUUCAGCUUAACUGAAGAACUGCCAUUGAAACUGUGAGUCUCGAGUUCGGUUGAGGUCAUUGGAAUGUAACAUGUAGCGGUGAAAUGCAUAGAUAUGUUACAGAACACCAAUUGCGAAGGCAGAUGACUAAACCGAAACUGACGCUGAGGC
rnacentral:rRNA from 1 species